rfam:Camelus ferus isolate Naran unplaced genomic scaffold scaffold2561, whole genome shotgun sequence.
GAGGGCAUAACUCAGUUGGAGAGUGUGUGCUUAGCGUGCACAAGGUCCUGGGUUCAAUUCCCAGUACCUCCA